UACAGAGGGUGCGAGCGUUAAUCGGAAUUACUGGGCGUAAAGCGCACGUAGGUGGCGACGUAAGUCGGGUGUGAAAGCCCCGGGCUCAACCUGGGAAUUGCAUUCGAGACUGCAUUGCUGGAGUACGGAAGAGGAAGGCGGAAUUCCCGGUGUAGCGGUGAAAUGCGUAGAUAUCGUAAGGAAGACCAGUGGCGAAGGCGAGUCUCUGGACAGUUACUGACACUGAGGCACGAAGGCCAGGGGAGCAAACGGG
rnacentral:rRNA from 1 species